AUUGAACGCUGGCGGCAUGCCUUACACAUGCAAGUCGAACGGCAGCACGGGAGCAAUCCUGGUGGCGAGUGGCGAACGGGUGAGUAAAGUAUCGGAACGUGCCCAGUCGUGGGAGAUAACGUAGCGAAAGUUACGCUAAUACCGCAUACGAUCUAUGGAUGAAAGCGGGGGAUCGCAAGACCUCGCGCGAUUGGAGCGGCCGAUAUCAGAUUAGGUAGUUGGUGGGGUGAAGGCCCACCAAGCCGACGAUCUGUAGCUGGUCUGAGAGGACGACCAGCCACACUGGGCCUGAGACACGGCCCAGACUCCUACGGGAGGCAGCAGUGGGGAAUUUUGGACAAUGGGCGGAAGCCUGAUCCAGCCAUGCCGCGUGCAGGAUGAAGGCCUUCGGGUUGUAAACUGCUUUUGUACGGAACGAAAAGGACUGCCCUAAUACGGUGGUCCCAUGACGGUACCGUAAGAAUAAGCACCGGCUAACUACGUGCCAGCCGCCGCAGUAAAAC
rnacentral:rRNA from 1 species